AAACUGGAGAGUUUGAUCCUGGCUCAGAACGAACGCUGGCGGCGUGCUUAACACAUGCAAGUCGAACGCGAAAGGGACUUCGGUCCUGAGUAGAGUGGCGCACGGGUGAGUAACGCGU
rnacentral:rRNA from 1 species